rnacentral:lncRNA from 1 species
UUUUCUGACGACGGUGAUGUUAUCGACUGCAUCAACAUUUAUCAACAGCCGGCCUUCAACAAUCCUCGCCUUAAAAACCACACAAUAUCGACAAUCAAGACACGACCCGGCAAAUUGCCUUUCUCCAAAAGAGCGAAAACAGCUCGACAAGCAUGGCAAAACAAUGGGAGAUGUCCCGAUGGAACUAUAGCAAUUAGAAGGGCCACACAACAAUCUCAGCUUGAGGUUGAUGCCACACAACCAAAUGGUUGCUACAUCGAGUAUGCAGGAAUCCAAGCACCUCAAACUGUAUAUGGCGCUAGAGGGGACGUAAACGUGUGGGGCAUACGAGUAGAGCCCAACGAGUGGAGCACGAAUGGCAUCGUAAUAACCAAUGGACAUGGUGCCUCGUUGCAGUUUGGGUGGAUGGUAGCCCCUACUCUGUAUGGGGAAUCCCACGGUAAAACAAGAUUGUUCAUCCGAACAGUGGAUCCACAAAACGGUGGCGAUUGCUUCAACCUGAAUUGCGCUGGUUUCGUGCAAAUUUCGAAUGAGUAUGCAUUUGGGGCAGCCCUAGCCCCUUUGUCAGAGUAUGGGGACGUGCAGUAUGAGACCCAUCUCACUAUUUACAAGGAUAUGCUUUCUAACAGAUGGUGUGCCAUGUACGGGGACACCAUGCUGGGGUACUGGCCCUUAGAGGCUUUCCCUGCCUUUGACAAGGGCGAGGAAGCUUUCUGGGGUGGCCAAGUGUGCAACAUGCAUGAGGGCCAGGAAUACACAACAACGGGAAUGGGGAGCGGAUAUCACCCAAUAGAAGGUAUGGGGAAAAGCGCAUAUAUACAUGGGAUUCAGGUCAUGCAGAUUGACAAAUCUUGGCAGAGGCCAACCAGGACGUUUGGUAACAUGAGCAACCAGCCCUGCUAUGGUGUCGAGCCCUAUGAAUCCAAGGAUGGGGCGCUCUCCAUCUUCUUCGGUGGUACCGCCAAUAUGGCUUGUUGUGGCCUCGCUUGCCAGAGCCCAGGGAAAUGA